UACGUAGGUGGCAAGCGUUGUUCGGAAUUAUUGGGCGUAAAGGGCGCGUAGGCGGUCUUGUAAGUCAGCUGUGAAAGCCCGGGGCUCAACCCCGGAGGGUCGGCUGAUACUGCAGGACUGGAGUACGGAAGAGGUAGCUGGAAUUCCCGGUGUAGCGGCGAAAUGCGCAGAUAUCAGGAGGAACACCGGUGGCGAAGGCGGGUCUCUGGGCCGAUACUGACGCUGAGGAGCGAAAGCGUGGGGAGCGAACAGG
rnacentral:rRNA from 1 species